rnacentral:rRNA from 1 species
AUACGGAGGAUCCGAGCGUUAUCCGGAUUUAUUGGGUUUAAAGGGUGCGUAGGCGGUUUGCUAAGCGGGAGGUGAAAUGCCGGCGCUCAACGUCGGAAGUGCCUCCCGAACUGGUGGACUGGAAUGACUCUGCCGUGGGAGGAAUGUGUAGUGUAGCGGUGAAAUGCUUAGAGAUUACACAGAACACCGAUUGCGAAGGCAUCUCACGAAGGGUUGAUUGACGCUGAGGCACGAAAGCGUGGGGAUCAAACAGGAUUAGAUACCCUGGUAGUCCACGCAGUAAACGAUGAUGGCUAACCGCUGGGCUUAUCAGUUCAGUGGCCAAGCGAAAGCGAUAAGCCAUCCACCUGUGGAGUACGACCGCAAGGUUGAAACUUAAAGGAAUUGACGGGG